rnacentral:rRNA from 1 species
UACGUAGGGCGCAAGCGUUGUCCGGAAUUAUUGGGCGUAAAGAGCUCGUAGGCGGCCUGUUGCGUCCGCUGUGAAAACCCGGGGCUUAACCCCGGGCUUGCAGUGGAUACGGGCAGGCUGGAGGCAGGCAGGGGAGAACGGAAUUCCCGGUGUAGCGGUGAAAUGCGCAGAUAUCGGGAGGAACACCGGUGGCGAAGGCGGGUCUCUGGGCCGAUACUGACGCUGAGGAGCGAAAGCGUGGGGAGCGAACAGG